rnacentral:tRNA from 1 species
GUGGCUAUAGCUCAGUUGGCAGAGCUCUAGAUUGUGAUUCUGGUGGUCAUCGGUUCGAUUCCGAUUAGUCACCCCA